rnacentral:rRNA from 1 species
GACGAACGCUGGCGGCGUGCUUAACACAUGCAAGUCGAACGGAAAGGCCCUUCGGGGUACUCGAGUGGCGAACGGGUGAGUAACACGUGGGUGAUCUGCCCUGCACUUUGGGAUAAGCCUGGGAAACUGGGUCUAAUACCGAAUAGGACCACGCGCUUCAUGGUGUGUGGUGGAAGCUUUUGCGGUGUGGGAUGGGCCCGCGGCCUAUCAGCUUGUUGGUGGGGUAAUGGCCUACCAAGGCGACGACGGGUAGCCGGCCUGAGAGGGUGACCGGCCACACUGGGACUGAGAUACGGCCCAGACUCCUACGGGAGGCAGCAGUGGGGAAUAUUGCACAAUGGGCGCAAGCCUGAUGCAGCGACGCCGCGUGAGGGAUGACGGCCUUCGGGUUGUAAACCUCUUUCAAUAGGGACGAAGCGCAAGUGACGGUACCUAUAGAAGAAGCACCGGCCAACUACGUG